rnacentral:rRNA from 1 species
GCUUACGGCCAUAUCUCGCUGAGAGCACCGGUUCUCGUCCGAUCACUGAAGUUAAGCAACGUUGAGCCUAGUGAGUACUUAGAAGGCGGCGAGCUGGCAGAAACGUUAGCACGCUGGGCG